ACUCCCAUAGAAGGGAUUGCCACGCAUCC
rnacentral:sRNA from 1 species